rnacentral:rRNA from 1 species
AGGACGAACGCUGGCGGCGUGCUUAACACAUGCAAGUCGAACGGAAAGGCCCUUCGGGGUACUCGAGUGGCGAACGGGUGAGUAACACGUGGGUGAUCUGCCCUGCACUUUGGGAUAAGCCUGGGAAACUGGGUCUAAUACCGAAUAUGACCUCAGGAUGCAUGUCUUGUGGUGGAAAGCUUUUGCGGUGUGGGAUGGGCCCGCGGCCUAUCAGCUUGUUGGUGGGGUGAUGGCCUACCAAGGCGACGACGGGUAGCCGGCCUGAGAGGGUGUCCGGCCACACUGGGACUGAGAUACGGCCCAGACUCCUACGGGAGGCAGCAGUGGGGAAUAUUGCACAAUGGGCGCAAGCCUGAUGCAGCGACGCCGCGUGGGGAUGACGGCCUUCGGGUUGUAACCCCUUUCAGCACAGACGAAGCGCAAGUGACGGUAUGUGCAGAAGAAGCACGGCCAACUACGUGCCAGCAGCCGCGGU